GUGAACUCCAGCCAAUGCUGAAAGGAAAAGAAGGCAAUUAAGGACUGACAGCUGUGACUUGGAAGGUGGAGAGGAUGAGGAAAAGGAGUCCUGCUCUGGGUGGGAAAAGCCACCUGAGUGUGCUCCCUCUCCUGUUCCCAGCUGCCAGGACAGGCCUGAGCCUCUCCCCAGCCCGGGCAGGGGCUCUCUCACCCUCUGCUUGUCGGGGUCCACAAAGCGGAUGCCGAAGUAAUCCUUCUCCAGCAGGUUCAGGUGGUGGCACAGGAGGUCAAACAGGGUCUGCUUGCACCGGCCUCUCCUCGCCUGGCUCCACACCCGGCUAAACACGGGGCUUGUGCGGUCAGCCCUGGGCUGCUCCUGCGCGGAGCUUCGGCCACCACGCCCAAACUCCCCUCCUGCCCUUCGGCUGGGGCUGCGGAGCCGCUGCUCUGCCGGCGGCCCGCGUCUGAGCAUUAACCCCUGCCACGCCGCUGAUUCCCCCCGGCGAGCGGAGCCGCUGCGCAUCGCCGCGGAUCAAAGGCGGCUGCUGACAGCGCUGCCUGCUCCUUCCCCAA